rnacentral:rRNA from 1 species
UACGUAGGGGGCAAGCGUUGUCCGGAAUUACUGGGCGUAAAGAGCUCGUAGGUGGUUUGUCGCGUUGUUCGUGAAAACUCACAACUCAAUUGUGGGCGUGCGGGCGAUACGGGCAGACUGGAGUACUGCAGGGGAGACUGGAAUUCCUGGUGUAGCGGUGGAAUGCGCAGAUAUCAGGAGGAACACCGGUGGCGAAGGCGGGUCUCUGGGACGGUACUGACGCUGAGACGCGAAAGCGUGGGGAGCAAACAGG